GACGAACGCUGGCGGCGUGCCUAAUACAUGCAAGUAGAACGCCGUUGCGAACGGGGGAGUAACGCGUAGGUAACUGCCUCAUAGCGGGGGAUAACUAUUGGAAACGAUAGCUAAUACCGCAUACUGUGAGAUGUACCUGCGUUGUAUUAGCUAGUUGGUGUGGUAAAGGCUCACCAAGGCGACGAUACAUAGCCGACCUGGGAGGGUGGUCGGCCACCCUUGGGCUUGGAACCUGGCCCGACCCCCUCGGGAGGCAGCAGUAGGGAAUCUUCGGCAAUGGACGGCAGGCGUACCGCGCAACGGCGCGUGAGUGAAGAAAGUUUUCGGAUCGUAAAGCUCUGUUGUUUGAGAAGCGGUAACUAACCAGAAAGGGACGGCUAACUACGUGCCAGCAGCCGCGGUAAUAC
rnacentral:rRNA from 1 species